AUUGAACGCCGGCGGCAUGCCUUACACAUGCAAGUCGAACGGUAACGCGGGGCAACCUGGCGACGAGUGGCGAACGGGUGAGUAAAGCAUCGGAACGUGCCCAGUAGUGGGGGAUAGCCCGGCGAAAGCCGGAUUAAUACCGCAUACGACCUAUGGGUGAAAGGGGGGGAUCGAAAGACCUACCGCUAUUGGAGCGGCCGAUGUCAGAUUAGGUAGUUGGUGGGGUAAAGGCCUACCAAGCCGACGAUCUGUAGCUGGUCUGAGAGGACGACCAGCCACACUGGGACUGAGACACGGCCCAGACUCCUACGGGAGGCAGCAGUGGGGAAUUUUGGACAAUGGGCGCAAGCCUGAUCCAGCCAUGCCGCGUGCGGGAAGAAGGCCUUCGGGUUGUAAACCGCUUUUGUCAGGGAAGAAAUCCUUUGGGUUAAUACCUCGGGGGGAUGACGGUACCUGAAGAAUAAGCACCGGCUAACUACGUGCCAGCCGCCGCGGUAA
rnacentral:rRNA from 1 species